rnacentral:rRNA from 1 species
UACGGAGGGUGCAAGCGUUAUCCGGAUUCACUGGGUUUAAAGGGUGCGUAGGUGGGCUAGUAAGUCAGUGGUGAAAUCUCCGGGCUUAACCCGGAAACUGCCAUUGAUACUAUUAGUCUUGAAUGUCGUGGAGGUAAGCGGAAUAUGUCAUGUAGCGGUGAAAUGCUUAGAUAUGACAUAGAACACCGAUAGCGUAGGCAGCUUACUACACGAAUAUUGACACUGAGGCACGAAAGCGUGGGGAGCGAACAGG